rnacentral:rRNA from 1 species
ACGAACGCUGGCGGCGUGCUUAACACCUGCAAGUCGAACGGAAAGGCCCUGCUUUUGUGGGGUGCUCGAGUGGCGAACGGGUGAGUAACACGUGAGUAACCUGCCCUUGACUUUGGGAUAACUUCAGGAAACUGGGGCUAAUACCGGAUAGGAGCUCCUGCUGCAUGGUGGGGGUUGGAAAGUUUCGGCGGUUGGGGAUGGACUCGCGGCUUAUCAGCUUGUUGGUGGGGUAGUGGCUUACCAAGGCUUUGACGGGUAGCCGGCCUGAGAGGGUGACCGGCCACAUUGGGACUGAGAUACGGCCCAGACUCCUACGGGAGGCAGCAGUGGGGAAUAUUGCACAAUGGGCGGAAGUCUGAUGCAGCAACGCCGCGUGCGGGAUGACGGCCUUCGGGUUGUAAACCGCUUUCGCCUGUGACGAAGCGUGAGUGACGGUAAUGGGUAAAGAAGCACCGGCUAACUACGUG